AUGCCUCCAUCUCCCCCAUUUCCCCAUUCCCCCAUCUUCACGACUCCCCCAUCUCCCCUAUUUUACCAUUAUCUCCCCCAUUUGCCCAUCUCCCCCAUUUCACCUAACUCCCCCUUUUCCCCAAUUCCCCAUUUCUCCUAUGCCUCCAUCUCCCCAAUUUCCCCAUCUCCGCCAUUUCCCCAAUUCCCCAUUUCCCCAUCUUCCCUAUUUCCCCAUUCCCCCAUCUCCCCCAAUUCCCCAUGUCCCCCAAUUCCUCAUCUCCCCUAUUUCCCCAUGUAUCCCAUUUCCCCAUUUCCCCCAAUUCCCCAUUUCUCAAUCUCCCCUAUCUCCCCAUCUCCCCCAUUUCCCUUAAUUCCCCAUUAUCUCCAUUCCUCAAUCUCCCCCAUCUCCCCCAUUUCCCCAUUAUCUCCCCAGUUUCCCCGUUAUCUCUCCCAUUUCCCUAUCUCCCCCAUUCCCCAUGAUCUCCCCAUUAUCUCCCCCAAUUCCCCAUUCCCCAAUUCCCCCAUUCCCCAGUCUCCCCCAUCUCCCCCAUUUCCCCAUUAUCUCCCCAAUUUUCCCCAUUCCCCAUUAUCUCCACCAUUCUAUAUCUCCCCCAUCCCACAUUAUCUCCCCAAUCUCCCCCAUUCCCCAUUAUCUCCACCAUUCUCCCAUUAUCUCCCCAUCCCCCAUUAUUUUCCCCAUUACCCCAUUAUCUCCCCAUUAUCUCCCCCAUUUCCCCAAUUCCCCCAUUUCCCAAUCUCCCCCAUUUCCCCAUUAUCGCCCCCAUUCCCGUCUCCCCCAUUUCCCCCAUUUUCCCAUUAUCUCCCCAAUUUCCCCGUUAUCUCUCCCACUCUCCUAUCUCCAUUCCCCCACUACCUCCCCCAUUCCCCAUUUUCUCCCCCAUCUCCCCAUUAUCUCCCCCAAUUCCCCCAUUUCCCAAUCUCCCCCAUUUCCCCAUUAUCUCCCCCGUUUCCCCAUUAUCUCCCCCAUUCCCCAGUCUCCCCCAUUUCCCCAUUAUCUCCCUCAUUUCCCCCAUUUCCCCAUUACCUCCCCCAUUCCCCAUUAUCUCCCCAAUCUCCCCCAUUUCCCCGUUAUCUCCCCCAAUUCCCCAUUUCCCCAAUUCCCCCAUUCCCCAGUCUCCCCCAUUUCCCCAUUAUCUCCCUCAUUUCCCCAUUACCUCCCCCAUUCCCCAUUCCCCAUUAUCUCCCCAAUCUCCCUCAUCUCCCCCAUUUCCCCGUUAUCUCCCCCAAUUCCCCAUUUCCCCAAUUCCCCCAUUCCCCA
rnacentral:lncRNA from 1 species